rnacentral:snRNA from 1 species
CUUUGUACAGUGGCAAUAUUACAGUUCAUGAAGUUAACCUGAGGCACAAUUACUGUUGAUUGAAAUUUUU